AGAUGUGAGAGCAAUUUGGCUGAGACAUCUGUUGCCCCUUUGUUCGUCAGGGUUGAUUCUACUAAUCUGAUUGGUGGGGCAGAUACCCCCCUUCCUCCCUCACUGUUCCCUGUGCACCCCUCCUCCCUGAGGCUGCACAGGUGGAAACACUGGCAAAUAAACAGGAAGGGAAGGCAUCGUCUUGGGAGAGUUGGUUUAAGG
rnacentral:snRNA from 1 species